rnacentral:rRNA from 1 species
AGAACGAACGCUGGCGGCAUGCCUAAUACAUGCAAGUCGAACGAAGGAUUCGGCCUUAGUGGCGCACGGGUGCGUAACGCGUGGGAACCUGCCCCUUGGUUCGGAAUAACAGUUGGAAACGACUGCUAAUACCGGAUGAUGACGAAAGUCCAAAGAUUUAUCGCCAAGGGAUGAGCCCGCGUAGGAUUAGCUAGUUGGUGAGGUAAAGGCUCACCAAGGCGACGAUCCUUAGCUGGUCUGAGAGGAUGAUCAGCCACACUGGGACUGAGACACGGCCCAGACUCCUACGGGAGGCAGCAGUAGGGAAUAUUGGACAAUGGGCGAAAGCCUGAUCCAGCAAUGCCGCGUGAGUGAUGAAGGCUUAGGUGUAAAGCUCUUUACCGAGAUGAUAAUGAACAGUAGUCGGAGAAUAAGCCCCGGCUAACUCCGUGCCAGCAGCCG